rfam:Asian citrus Psyllid, Diaphorina citri - Florida Strain, whole genome shotgun sequence.
GCCAGCGGCGAUAGCACGUCAAAUGUACCAAUUCCCGAUGAAUCACUGAAGUUGAGCAACGUUGCGCACGGUUGGUACCCGGAUAAGUGACCACCUGGACAAUCGGGUGCUGGUUGUU